CAAUCAAGCACGGUUCCGCAAUCAAGGAGCUGAUGGACGCCCUCCUACUCCCAGAAGAAGUGGCUAUUUUGAAGAUAAAAGCACAUGGGAAGUUGAAGCAAGGGGCAACCAUCUAGCUGAUCAGGCUGCAAAACAAGCUGCAAAAGAACCACAGGAAGUGGAAAGAAGAGUGUCCGGAAAUGAAGAAACUCCCAUAUUUACUCUGCAGACUCUUCCAACUGACCUAAAAAUCCUGCGGGAACAACAGGCUACAGUUGCCCCUGAAGAAAUACAG